rnacentral:misc_RNA from 1 species
UUGCAGCCCGACCUGAGUGGAGCUCUUUUUUGUUAUUGCGAAUCUGAAAAACUUCAACGGAAUCCUUCAUUUUGUUCGCAAUAACAAAAAAAGCGGGAACGGAGGGCGGUCCCGAUA